rnacentral:rRNA from 1 species
ACCACUUCGGUGGGGAUUAGUGGCGAACGGGUGAGUAACACGUGGGCAAUCUGCCCUGCACUCUGGGACAAGCCCUGGAAACGGGGUCUAAUACCGGAUAUUGACCACCGCAGGCAUCUGUGGUGGUGGAAAGCUCCGGCGGUGCAGGAUGAGCCCGCGGCCUAUCAGCUAGUUGGUGAGGUAAUGGCUCACCAAGGCGACGACGGGUAGCCGGCCUGAGAGGGCGACCGGCCACACUGGGACUGAGACACGGCCCAGACUCCUACGGGAGGCAGCAGUGGGGAAUAUUGCACAAUGGGCGAAAGCCUGAUGCAGCGACGCCGCGUGAGGGAUGACGGCCUUCGGGUUGUAAACCUCUUUCAGCAGGGAAGAAGCGAAAGUGACGGUACCUGCAGAAGAAGCGCCGGCUAACUACGUGCCAGCAGCCGCGGUAAUACGUAGGGCGCGAGCGUUGUCCGGAAUUAUUGGGCGUAAAGAGCUCGUAGGCGGCUUGUCACGUCGGUUGUGAAAGCCCGGGGCUUAACCCCGGGUCUGCAGUCGAUACGGGCAGGCUAGAGUUCGGUAGGGGAGAUCGGAAUUCCUGGUGUAGCGGUGAAAUGCGCAG